UGCUCCGGCCGGCCCCUCCCCCAUUUCCAUGGCUCCAGCACAAACUACUUCAGAGACCUCUGAACCCCAGUGCUGAGGGAAGGGACCCUGAGGGGAGCUAGACGCCAGCAUCUUCCUGGUCCACCCCUCCCCCAGGCAGCUUGGGCCGCACUCAGGAUAGGUCAGAAUACCCCCAUCCCACUUCCGGGAGGGGUCAUCUAUCUUAGUUUCUUUUUGUUUUUUGGCUGCGCCCCGAGGCUUGUGGUAGUGGGAUCUUAGCUCCCCGACCCGGGAUCAAACCCAGACCCUCGGCAGUGAAAGCACAGAGUCCUAACCACUGGACCGCCAGGGAAUUCCCGGGGUCAUCUAUCAAAUCUCAGCCAGGGUGCAGGGACUAGGGACCAGGUCGGCCUUGUGCCCAGCAGGGUCCCCAGCACCCAGCUCAAGGGCAGAGGGCCCCCAAAAUGUUGAAAGACAGGAACAGAGGCUUGGGGUUCAGGCUGGCGGUGUGAGGGCCCAGAGUGUGUGCGGAGCAAACAUGCACACAGAGAGUAGGCAAAGCGAUGACAGGAAGAGGCACGGGGCGGGGCUGGAAAGUUUUGGCCUGGAGAGGUGGGAGGAGUGUCCUGUUCUCCCUCCUCCUGGGGCAGCUCCACCCGCCCUGGUGGCCCAGCCCAUCCACUUGUGCCAAGGAAUGUGCCUGGGAGAGGCAGCCUGGGAGGCGGGCGGGCGGGGCAGCAAAGCUGCGGCCACCCGGAGGCAGCACACAGGUCUGAGGCUGAGGGGCCGGGGCUCAGGUGGGGCAGGGACCCCAAAUGCCCCCCCCCGGGGCACACGUGUAGUCUUCAGAGAAGAGCCAGGCAUCCCCCUAAUUCCUUGUCCCACCGGUAGGCAUCUGGCCUCUCCAAGAAUUCUCCCUGAGCACCCUAAGUUUUCUGUGCUCAGCCCAGGCACUGUGAGCCAAGGAGCUUUCUGGUGCUGGCGAUGGCGGUGGUGGUGUGUGCUUAGGCGCUCUCUGUGCUGGCCUCCGUCAACGUGGAGGUGCCGGGCCACCAUGCUCAGUCUCAAGCUGCCCCAACUCCUUCGCGUCCACCAGGUCCCCAGGGUGUUCUGGGAAGAUGGUAUCAUGUCUGGCUACCGCCGCCCCACCAGCUCGGCCUUGGACUGUGUCCUCAGCUCCUUCCAGAUGACCAACGAGACCGUCAACAUCUGGACUCACUUCCUGCCCACUUGGUACUUCCUGUGGCGCCUCCUGGCGCUGGCGGGAGGCCAGGGCUUCCGGUCGGAGCCCUACCACUGGCCGCUGCUCGUCUUCCUGCUGCCCGCCUGCCUCUACCCGUUUGCGUCGUGCUGCGCGCACACCUUCAGCUCCAUGUCACCCCGCGCGCGUCACAUCUGCUACUUCCUGGACUACGGCGCGCUCAGCCUCUACAGCCUGGGUUCCCAGAGCUAGAAAGCCCUGCGCUCAGUAAGAUCCUCCGCACGGCUGCCUUCACCUAUCCCUUUCUGUUCGACAACCUCCCGCUCUUCUAUCGGCUCGGACUGUGCUGGGGCAGGGGCCACAGCUGUGGGCAGGAGGCACUGAGCACCAGCCACGGCUACCACCUCUUCUGCGCGUUGCUCACUGGCUUCCUGUUUGCUUCCCACCUGCCUGAGCGGCUGGCACCAGGACGCUUU